GACGAACGCUGGCGGCGUGCUUAACACAUGCAAGUCGAACGGAAAGGCCCUGCUUUUGUGGGUUGCUCGAGUGGCGAACGGGUGAGUAACACGUGAGUAACCUGCCCUUGACUUUGGGAUAACUUCAGGAAACUGGGGCUAAUACCGGAUAGGAGCUCCUGCUGCAUGGUGGGGGUUGGAAAGUUUCGGCGGUUGGGGAUGGACUCGCGGCUUAUCAGCUUGUUGGUGGGGUAGUGGCUUACCAAGGCUUUGACGGGUAGCCGGCCUGAGAGGGUGACCGGCCACAUUGGGACUGAGAUACGGACCAGACUCCUACGGGAGGCAGCAGUGGGGAAUAUUGCACAAUGGGCGGAAGCCUGAGGCAGCAACGCCGCGUGCGGGAUGACGGCCUUCGGGUUGUAAACCGCUUUCGCCUGUGACGAAGCGUGAGUGACGGUAAUGGGUAAAGAAGCACCGGCUAACUACGUG
rnacentral:rRNA from 1 species